ACCACUUCGAUCCAUCCCGAACUCGGUUGUGAAACGCAUCAGCGGCGACGAUAUUUGGGGGGUAGCCCCCUGAGAAAAUAGCUCAAUGCCA
rnacentral:rRNA from 1 species